rnacentral:rRNA from 1 species
UACGAAGGGGGCUAGCGUUGCUCGGAAUUACUGGGCGUAAAGCGCACGUAGGCGGAUUGUUAAGUCGGGGGUGAAAUCCUGGAGCUCAACUCCAGAACUGCCUUCGAUGCUGGCGAUCUCGAGUUCGGGAGAGGUGAGUGGAACUGCGAGUGUAGAGGUGAAAUUCGUAGAUAUUCGCAAGAACACCAGUGGCGAAGGCGGCUCACUGGCCCGAUACUGACGCUGAGGUGCGAAAGCGUGGGGAGCAAACAGG